rfam:Cavia porcellus supercont2_1 genomic scaffold, whole genome shotgun sequence.
GCCGGGCGUGGUGGCGCGUGCCUGUAGUCCCAGCUACUCAGGAGGCUGAGGUGGCAGGAUCGAUUGAGUCCAGGAGUUCUGGGCUGCAGUGCGCUAUGCCGAUCGGGUGUCCGCACUAAGUUAUCCGCACUAAGUUCAGCAUCAAUUUGGUGACCUCCCCGGAGCAGGGGACCACCAGGUUGCCUAAGGAGGGGUGAACUGGCCCAGGUCGGAAACGGAGCAGGUCAAAACUCCUAUGCUGAUCAGUAGUGGGAUCGCGCCUGUGAAUAGCCACUGCACUCCAGCCUGGGCAAUAUAGUGAGACCUUGCCUCUU